CCUGUAGGCAAAGCCUAGGCAAGAGUUACAUCACCUUUGUCAUCAGUUCAGGGAUAUGUGAAAACGCCCCUGCAGGCAGAGCUUAGACAAGAGUUACAUCACCUAGUUGAUCAGUGCAGAGAUAUUUCACAAUACCUCCUGUAGGCAGAUCCUAGUCAAGAGUUGCAUCACCUGGGUGAUCAGUGCAGAGAUAUUUCACAACGCCCCCUGUAGGCAGAGGGUAGACAAGAGUUACAUCACCUAGGUGAUCAGUGCAGAGAUUUGUCGAAAUUCCCUGUAGGCAGUGCUUAUAAAAGUGUUACAUCACCUAAGUGAUCAGUGCAGAGAUAUGUCACAAAGCUCCUGUAGGCAGAGCUUAGAUGAGUUACAUCACCUGGGUGAUCAGAGCAAAGGUAUGUCACAAAGCCCCCUGUAGGCCAAAGCCUAGACAAUAGUUACAUCACUUGGGUGAUCAGUGGCGAGAUCUCUCACAAUUCCCCUGUAGGCAGAGCUUAUACAACAGUUACAUCACCUGGGUGAUCAGUGCAGAUAUAUGUCACAAUGCCCCCAUAGGCAGAUCCAAGACAAGAGUCCGUCUCCUGGGUGAUCAGUGCAGAAAUACGUCACAAUGCCCCCUUAGGCAGAGCCUAGACAAAAGCCCCAUCACCUGGAUGAUUAGUGCAGAGUUAUGUCACAAAGUCCCUUUAGGCAGAUCCUAGACAAGAGUCCCAUUACUUGGGUGAUCAGUGCAGAGAUAUGUCACAAUGCCACUGUAGGCAGAGCCUAGACAAGAGUUACAUGACCUAGGUGAUCAGUGCAGAGAUACAUCGCAAUGCCCCUGUAGGCAGAGCCUUGACAAGUGGUACAUCACCUGGGUGAUCAUUGCAGGGAUAUGUCACAAAGCACCCUGUAGGCAGAUCCUAGAGAAGAGUUAUAUCACCUGGGUGAUCAGUGCAGAGAUAUGUCACAAGCCCCCUGUAGGCAGAGCCUAGACAAGAGUUAUAUCACCUGGGUGAUCAGUGCAGUCAUAUGUCACAAUGCUGUGUAGCCAGAGCCUAGACAAAAGUUACAGCACCUGGGAGAUCAGUGCAGAGAUAUGUCACAAUGUCCCCAGUAGGCAGAGACCAGGCAAGAGUUGGAUCACCUCGGGAUCAGUGCAGAGAUAUGUCUCAAUCCCCCUGUGGGCACAGCCUAGACAAGAGUUACAUCACCUCGGUUAACAGUGCAGAGAUAUGUCAAAAUGCCCCUGUAGGCAGAGCCUACACAAGUGU
rnacentral:lncRNA from 1 species